AGGAGGGGAAACACAGAGAGCGAGUAAGCACAUAGAAAGAGAGCUAGAGACGUGUGGGCUUACUGUACAGGCGAAAGGUCAAGAUCUAGGGAGGCAGCAAAAAGUCCAGAAGGAAUCCGGGGAGACGAGACGCACAGCUCGAAACCAGGGAACGAAGAGGAGGUGCGGGAUGACGACACAAUGAACACAGAGGAGGGGAAACACAGAGAGCGAGUAAGCACAUGGAAAGAGAGCUAGAGACGUGUGGGCUUACUGUACAGGCGAAAGGUCAAGAUCUAGGGAGGCAGCAAAAAGUCCAGAAGGAAUCCGGGGAGACGAGACGCACAGCUCGAAACCAGGGAACGAAGAGGAGGUGCGGGAUGACGACACAAUGAACACAGAGGAGGGGAAACACAGAGAGCGAGUAAGCACAUGGAAAGAGAGCUAGAGACGUGUGGGCUUACUGUACAGGCGAAAGGUCAAGAUCUAGGGAGGCAGGAAAAAGUCCAGAAGGAAUCCGGGGAGACGAGACGCACAGCUCGAAACCAGGGAACGAAGAGGAGGUGCGGGAUGACGACACAAUGAACACAGAGGAGGGUAAACACAGAGAGCGAGUAAGCACAUGGAAAGAGAGCUAGAGACGUGUGGGCUUACUGUACAGGCGAAAGGUCAAGAUCUAGGGAGGCAGCAAAAAGUCCAGAAGGAAUCCGGGGAGACGAGACGCACAGCUCGAAACCAGGGAACGAAGAGGAGGUGCGGGAUGACGACACAAUGAACACAGAGGAGGGGAAACACAGAGAGCGAGUAAGCACAUGGAAAGAGAGCUAGAGACGUGUGGGCUUACUGUACAGGCGAAAGGUCAAGAUCUAGGGAGGCAGCAAAAAGUCCAGAAGGAAUCCGGGGAGACGAGACGCACAGCUCGAAACCAGGGAACGAAGAGGAGGUGCGGGAUGACGACACAAUGAACACAGAGGAGGGUAAACACAGAGAGCGAGUAAGCACAUGGAAAGAGAGCUAGAGACGUGUGGGCUUACUGUACAGGCGAAAGGUCAAGAUCUAGGGAGGCAGCAAAAAGUCCAGAAGGAAUCCGGGGAGACGAGACGCACAGCUCGAAACCAGGGAACGAAGAGGAGGUGCGGGAUGACGACACAAUGAACACAGAGGACGGUAAACACAGAGAGCGAGUAAGCACAUGGAAAGAGAGCUAGAGACGUGUGGGCUUA